rnacentral:lncRNA from 1 species
UUAUAAGACCUGGGGAAAUGAUGCAUCUGUCUAUUAGUUUUUAAAUAUGCAAAGAACAAUAUUCUUAAGCUGGUUAGGUUUUUGUAUAGGUGAGAAUAGAUGCUGGCUGUGCGUGAAGCUAAACUGCUAUUGAGCACAGCACUACAGAAAACAAAGGUGGGACAGAAGUAACGCUUAAGCCAAGUUCAGUGUUAUUGUGUAAUGAUGCUUAUGGUGUCUAAAAUGCAGAUAUUGAGAGAAAUAACUAUGUUUUUCCCCUAAAUCAUUGAACGGGACUGUUAUUCUUAACACAGCUUCCCAUACUUGGAUGGAACUGUUUUUUCUUCAAAGAGCAAACAGAAUGCUGCAUCUAAGGAGUAAGAAGAUCAGUGUCUUGUCUCACUCUUCUGGUGUGCAAAUGAAGCUUGUCCAAUAUGUGUUACCCCAGAAAGAAUUAAGAUAAUUGAAGUCAGAGUAUCUGAACUUGGAUCACUUGCAAGUAAGGAUGAUCUGCAUGCACAUGUUCUGUUAAGAUAAUGGUGAACAGAUCCAGAUGAUUCCUGAUUUAAAGCUAUAGAUGAGGGAGUAAUCCUGAUUCCCAUAUUAAAAGGAGGGGAAUUUCAUGACGGGGAGAAGACUGAGAAUGUGUGUAACCUUUCUGCUCUGAGACUGGGAGUACUGAAGAAUGAAUAUGUGAGACAGACAGGAACAGGAAGAGCCGAAAGCCUGAGGGACCUUUGACCAUUCAGAGAGCAUUCAGUAGGUUU